AUUGAACGCUGGCGGCAUGCCUUACACAUGCAAGUCGAACGGCAGCGGGCCUUCGGGUGCCGGCGAGUGGCGAACGGGUGAGUAAUGCAUCGGAACGUGCCAUUGAGUGGGGGGAUAACGUAGCGAAAGUUACGCUAAUACCGCAUAUUCUGUGAGCAGGAAAGCAGGGGACCGCAAGGCCUUGCGCUCUUUGAGCGGCCGAUGUCAGAUUAGCUAGUUGGUGAGGUAAAGGCUUGCCAAGGCGACGAUCUGUAGCGGGUCUGAGAGGAUGAUCCGCCACACUGGAACUGAGACACGGUCCAGACUCCUACGGGAGGCAGCAGUGGGGAAUUUUGGACAAUGGGCGCAAGCCUGAUCCAGCCAUGCCGCGUGAGUGAAGAAGGCCUCGGUUGUAAG
rnacentral:rRNA from 1 species